UACGUAGGGACCAAGCGUUGUUCGGAUUUACUGGGCGUAAAGGGCGCGUAGGCGGCAAUUCAAGUCAUCUGUGAAAUCUCCGGGCUUAACUCGGAACGGUCAGAUGAUACUGCUUUGCUAGAGUGCAGAAGGGGCAAUCGGAAUUCUCGGUGUAGCGGUGAAAUGCGUAGAUAUCGAGAGGAACACCAGAGGUGAAGACGGGUUGCUGGGCUGACACUGACGCUGAGGCGCGAAAGCCAGGGGAGCGAACGGG
rnacentral:rRNA from 1 species